rnacentral:rRNA from 1 species
GUUGGUAGGGUAAUGGCCUACCAAGGCGACGACGGGUAGGGGACCUGAGAGGGUGAUCCCCCACAAUGGAACUGAAACACGGUCCAUACACCUACGGGUGGCAGCAGUAGGGAAUAUUGCACAAUGGGUGAAAGCCUGAUGCAGCAACGCCGCGUGUGCGAUGAAGGCCUUCGGGUUGUAAAGCACUUUUCUGAGGGAAGAGGAAGGACGGUACCUCAGGAAUAAGUCUCGGCUAACUACGUGCCAGCAGCCGCGGUAACACGUAGGAGGCAAGCGUUAUCCGGAUUUACUGGGCGUAAAGCGCGUGCAGGCGGUUUGGUAAGUUGGAUGUGAAAGCUCCUGGCUUAACUGGGAGAGGUCGUUCAAUACUGCCAGACUAGAGGACGGUAGAGGAAGGUAGAAUUCCUGGUGUAGUGGUGAAAUGCGUAGAUAUCAGGAGGAAUACCAGAGGCGAAGGCGGCCUUCUGGGCCGUUCCUGACGCUAAGACGCGAAAGCAUGGGUAGCAAACGGGAUUAGAAACCCCGGUAGUCCAUGCCGUAAACGAUGCAAACUUGGUGUUGGUGGUGUAAAAGCCAUCAGUGCCGAAGCUAACGCGAUAAGUUUGCCGCCUGGGGAUUACGGCCGCAAGGUUAAAACUCAAAGGAAUUGACGGGUUUCCGCACAAGCAGCGGAGCGUGUGGUUUAAUUCGACUACGCGAAGAACCUUACCUGGGCUUGACAUAUAGGUGGUAGGGAUCCGAAAGGUGACCGACCCUUCGGGGAGCCUAUACAGGUGCUGCAUGGCUGUCGUCAGCUCGUGUCGUGAGAUGUCCGGUUAAGUCCGGUAACGAGCGCAACCCUUGCCGUAUGUUAUACGUGUCAUACGGGACUGCCGAUAUAAAAUCGGGGGAAGGCGGGGAUGACGUCAAGUCAGCAUGGCCUUUAUGUCCAGGGCUACACACACGCUACAAUGGCCAGUACAAUAGGUUGCAAGGCCGCGAGGCGGAGCCAAUCCUCAAAGCUGGUCUCAGUUCGGAUUGCAGGCUGUAACUCGCCUGCAUGAAGCCGGAGUUGCUAGUAAACGCACGUCAGCACAGUGCGUUGAAUACGUUCCCGGGAAUUGUACACACCGCCCGUCACGUCAUGGAAGCUGGAAACACCUAAAGUCGGUAUCCUAACCCUAACGGGAGGGAGCUGCCAAAGGUGGGGCUGGUAACUGGGACGAAGUCGUAACAAGGUAGGUGUACCGGAAGGUGCGCCUGG